CGCGCUGCUGCUAACAAAACCAGCAUAGUAAUAUCACUUCGGGAUGCUUACGUUAGUUUGAACAUUUUCCGCUGGAGGCGCCGUAAUAAGCGCAAUUUUUUUUUGCAAACUUUCUCGUACAAUUACCGAAGCACGUUUAUUACAUAAAAAAGAGGGCGAAAUUAUCAUUGCUAAUUUGAUAUUGUAUUCUUUGUAAGUAAGUUUAUUGUUUCUUUGUCAUUAUAAACGCAAAUAGCGUUCAGCAUCAUCGAUCUUUCACGUGACCUCUGGCCUGGAUUUAAAAUUUUUACCGGUAUUUUCAAGUACAUGGCGGCACGGAUUCAUUCGUUCGUGCGCUCAGACUGGUUGCUUCUUUUUCGCUAAAACUAGUUUAUUGCGCUUCGAUGUCACGCGUUAUUUAACCUGGGGUGAAGUGACGUGUUUGCAAGCGGACAUGUAAGCCCGAAAGUUGGGUAUCGGUCGUGAGCCAUUCGGAACACGUCUGCAUCGAAACGGGAGCUGAUUCUGGUGCGGCUGACAACGGUAAUAACGACAUGCAGUAAUGAGGAUGGCACCAGUAUAAAGCAACACACUCCACACACUAAACAGAAGCUGCUGCCUGCUACAACAAGGCCAUUGUGUGGACAUUGGCUGCUACUACAAGAGUCCAUGCCAAGCAUACCUUGGUCAUCACAGGAGCUCCUAUCCACACCAACAGAAAGGGGCUGGACCUGAAUUUGCAAGGCUUUUACACCACGAACAAAGAAGCGCAUGCAGAAGAAUUUACAUGAGAUAUCAAGUCUGCAGAGCACUGUGUCAAGACUGAAAAGAGCUUCAGCCACCAUUCCACCAGCGCGGACAAAUUGGCUUAGUCAUCCAGGUAACUCAAAAAGGACUUUAUGGAAAUUCUUCGUCUUCAGAUGCGCCUGCAACUUCUGAUCAAGCACGGACGACGCUGGCCAAAAGAGUUCCAUCAGUUUGCCCUUAAUCAGCUUCCUGGCCAUGUCAAUUCCAUUUGUGCCAAGUGUAAUUUUUCUUCUAUAAAUGCAAGCUUUUUCAUUGCCCAUUCUCGUUAGAGAUCAUUCAUCCUCAUCCAAACAUAAAGGUCAACCGAUUCUUCGCUGAUACUUAAUACCAGUCACUGUCUAGUAGCAUAACAUAUCUGUAGCAGUACCUUUUAGUGCAUGUUGUCAUGCACAAUUCCUCUCCUGAAAUAGCUGAUGCAACAUCGACAUGUUUCUUGCAUUAACCUAUGCACUGUUUGCUAUGCACCAUUUUACUUUUCUUGAUGUUUUUGGCCUUCAAUGCUUGCAGAGCAGGGUGGCUUCUCUUGAAUGCAAGCUUUCUCAUUUUCCAUAUUCCUAGUCUCGUUGAUGGUUGCUCUUCUUCCUCGAUAGCCUGGGUCUUUGCGCAAGCUACACUGAAUGAUAGAUUGCAGAAUCUGGUUUUGCUGCCCCACUUGGUUGUGGUCGCCGUGUUACAUUUCUCGGAUGUGGGGGCCUGCUCAGUUACAUUGGUAAGCAGUCUCUCGAGGUAAGCAUUUGCUCCUGCAGUCCGCACAGCGACAUAGACUCCCAAUUUACACACCAUGAUUCGUGCUCCCCGUUCAGCCUUUCCUGCUGUAGCCAUGUGCAAAUUGUGCCUGCGGCCUUUCUCACUCGCAAUUAAGCAUGAACGGAGACAAGCAUACGUGCUUACAUGGUCCAACGUGUUUGAAGUUCAUAGCCGCAUGGGUGGAAAGGCCCGCAUAAAUGGCUGCCGAAGGUGAUGCCCACGAAAGCGACUUGUCCAUAUUGAGACAAAGUGGGACACCAAAUGUGAGCCACACAUUAGUGGCCCUCGACAGAAAAGAAACAUGCAGGUUGGAAAGGAGUUAACGCUAAAAUGCCGGAUAGUCCAUUUCGCUGUGUUGGUUGUGGCAGCAGAUGCCUGCAUCACCUGAUUGCUUCGCAAUGGAAGUUGCUCAUCUUCAACGGCAACUGUCGGUUCAAACAGGUGCGACGCUCUGUCCAAUCUGUUUGUACUGCUGUUUGUCGCUCGUUACCAGACCACCACAUGCGACGAAGGCAAGCAUUAUGCCUGUAAGUAGGCGGCUGAAUGUAUCCUAAGAGACCCGUGUAUGUGAAUGCUCACUGUUGCCAUAUGGUUUGUAGCCAAUGUAUAAUGUAUUCUCUGAACACUGUGGUGAAUGAUUGCCGUUUAUUUUUGCUGUUAUCUCACUUGGUUACGGUCGCCGUAUUAUGCUUAUCGGGUGUGGGGGCCUGGUCAGUUGCAUUGGAAAACAGUCUCUCGAGGUAAGUAUUUGCUCCUGCAGUCCGCACAGCGACAUAGACUCCCAAUUUACACACCAUUAUUCGUGCUCCCCGUUCAGCCUUUCCUGCUGCAGCCAUGUGCAGAUUGUGCCUGCGGCCUUUCUCAGUCGCAAUUAAGCACGAACGGAGACAAGCAUACGUGCUUACAUGGUCCAACGUGUUUGAAGUUCAUAGCCACAUGGGUGGAAAGGCCCGCAUAAAUGGCUGCCGAAGGUGAUGCCCAUGAAAGCGACUUGUCCAUAUUGAGACAAAGUGGGACACCAAAUGUGAGCCACACAUUAGUGGCCCUCGACAGAAAAGAAACAUGCAAGUUGGAAAGGAGUUAACGCUAAAAUGCUGGAUAGUCCAUUUCGCUGUGUUGGUUGUGGCAGCAGAUGCCUGCAUCACCUGAUUGCUUCGCAAUGGAAGUUGCUCAUCUUCAACGGCAACUGUCGGUUCAAACAGGUGCGACGUUCUGUCCAAUCUGUUUUUACUGCUGUUUGUCGCUCGUUACCAGACCACCACAUGCGACGAAGGCAAGCAUUAUGCCUGUAAGUAGGUGGCUGAAUGUAUCCUAAGAGACCCGUGUAUGUGAAUGCUCACUGUUGCCAUAUGGUUUGUAGCCAAUGUAUAAUGUAUUCUCUGAACACUAUGUGGUGAAUGAUUGCCGUUUAUUUUUGCUGUUAUCUCACUUGGUUACGGUCGCCGUAUUAUGCUUAUCGGGUGUGGGGGCCUGGUCAGUUGCACUGGAAAGCAGUUUCUCGAAGUAAGCAUUUGCUCCUGCAAUCUGCACAGCGCCAUAGACUCCCAAUUUACACACCGUGAUUCGUGCUCCCCGUUCACGUUCAGCCUUUCCUGCUGCAGCCAUGGGCAAAUUGUGCCUGUUGCCUUUCUCGGCCGCGAUUAAGCACGAACGGAGACCGGCAUACGUGCUUACAUGGUCCGACGUGUGUGAAGUUGGGUGCAAAGGCCCGCAAAAGUGGCUGAUGAAGGUGAUGCCCACGAAAGCGACUUGUCCAUAUUGAGACAAUGUGGGACACCAAGUGCGAGCCACACAUUAGCGGCCCCCGAAAGAAAAGUAACGUGCAGGUUGGAAAGGAGUUAAGGCUAAAAUGCCGGGUAGUCCAUGUCGCUGUGUUGGCUGCGGCAGCAGAUUCCUGGUUCACCCGAUUGUUUCGCAGUGUUAGUUGCUCAUCUUUAACGGCGACCGCCGCUGCAAACAGGCGGGAUACUGACCAAUCUGCAUGAGCCGCUGGUUUUCGCUCGUUACUAGACCGCCAUGUGUGACGACGACGGUGAGCCGUUUACGAGCUCGCGUCAAAGAUUCCAGUGUAUCUCGACAUACAAAUUUUAUUUCUGCUAUUGCACGAGAAUGUACAUACACUGCUGGUCUUCUGCCAAUAAAGUCGCACGUUCUGUUCACUCA